GCCAGGCGCGGUGGCUCACGCCUGUAAUCCCAGCACCUUGGGAGGCUGAGGCAGGAGGAUCACCUGAGGUCAGGAGUUCAAGACCACCCUGGCCAACAUGGUGAAACCCUGUCUCUA
ensembl:misc_RNA Metazoa_SRP Metazoan signal recognition particle RNA